rnacentral:lncRNA from 1 species
CGCCCCCCGCGCUUGGCGCUGGGCCGCCGCGGCUCGGUUGUCCGGGGAGGUGCGGGGCGCCGCUGGCGUGGGCGUCCGAACGAGAGAGGAGGGGGAGGGGGACACGGAGAGAAAAGUUGUCACAGCUCUAGUGUGAGGUGAAGAGAAAGAUAUUUUAAAAGUAUCUCUCCUGAGCCAUGGGUAUGGUUUCCUUGGGAAUCAAGGACAGAAAACGGUCCCUGAAUCAAUCAUCUGUGAUAGAAAAGGUGUCAUCUUAUGAAAGUACGGGUGCUUUUCCAUAAUACCCCUUGAGGCUCGGGAGACAGACUGAAAGGCAGAGGCUCAGUUAAUGCCCUCAAUUAAGAACUACAUCUCCGAGAAAGAGAAUGCCCUUGAGCUAAAAAUGUAAUUCUUGGCCUGCAGUAUCCUGGCAGAGAUUAGAGCAGACAUCUGUUCCUGCACAUGGCUCUCUGUUGACAGCUGUGUGAUGCUCACCGAAACAAGCCUUGAACUGCUCUGCUUCGCCAUCUCAACAGGUUAACUGGAACUGAGGAUUUUGUAAUACAGCUUUACGUCUGUGCAAAUGCUGUGUCCUUUAAGUUUGAGUGGCUUUGUAAACAGUGAGUAGAUGUUAGGUCCCCUGGAUUUGGGGUCAGACGAUCAGUUCUGCCACUUGACAUGUGUGUGCCCCUGUAUGUGUCCUUCCUUGUAAUAAGGAAAUAUCAACAAUGCUUCCCACACUGACUUGUUUGGAGGAUUGAGGUAAUCAUAUGCAUAAAGGAUUUAGCAUAAUCUGUAACAAAUAAUAAGUGCUGAAAAGAUAUUAGUUGUUUUAAUUAUAUUCAUACUCAUUGUUUCAAGCAAGAAUGAUUCCACAGUCAUAGAUAGUUCUGUGAAGAGUCCAACUACAGCUCUCUUGUACAGCUAAGACUUUCUGUCUGUUGUUUAAAAUAAAGUACGGUUUGUUCAACAAUAUCAUCUGUUAUACAAAAGUCAUUGUAAAAAAUCAAAUAAAUACUUAUAAUAAAUGUAUGUAUCGGGGUAUAGAUAUAACUUCAUGUUAACUUGCGACUUUUUAUUUUAUUAUUUUCUUUGAAAUAUGGGAAGGUGAGAAUGAAGAGACACUGUGGAAUUGGACCAAGAUAAAUAUGGUUUUGGUUUCUGAAGCAGGAGAUUCUGGGAAGGCGAUGACUGGAAAAGAGCUCUCUUCCCUCUACCACCAAAUCCUCUGUGUCUAUUCCUCCUGAGUCAAAUGGAUGCUCAUGUCUACAUGGAGUCUGUGUGCCAGUGAGCCAUUGUGUUCCACAGUGGCCAUGGUGUGGACAGCUAACGCACAAUCAUGAACUCUUGCACUAGGUGAGUCCCUGAAGCCAGAGUUCAUGUAGUAAAGCCAAGAAGAAACUGAAUCAUGCACAGAUCCCUCCUCUUCAUGUGGAAGAGAAUAGGAAGAGAAUGGGUGGAGAGGUUUUCUUGAGGUACUUCAAUAAAGAGAGGUUGAUUUGCUUGCUAUUAUUCUAGCAGUCUUUUCAGAGUAGAAGCCACAGACCUCACAUGACCCAUAUGAUCCAGCAACCCUGGUCUCAUCUCCCAUUCGUCUCUCACGUGCUUGCUUUCACUCCAG